CGUCAAUUUAUUUUCUCAAAAAUGCCAACCGAUUCUUUUCUCCUCUAGAUGUCCUUGACAAAAUAUCGUCUGCUGGUCAUUCGGUGCAGUUUUCACACCACGAGGCAAUUGUACUCUUGCUUUCUUUGUCGUUUUCAAGAAAAACCAUUUUGGAACGAGUGUGAUGAACCAGUUGCAAAGGCAGUCGUGCAAUAAGGCGUAUGGAUACAAAGGUUCGUCCAUUGACGUCAUUGCAAUCGCCGAGUUUGAAAGAUGCACACUUUCUCCAUCUCUGUCUACAAUAUUAUCAUCCAGUGCACGCAGCGCACGCCUUGAUGCAGUGAAGCAGAGAACCAAAAGGGACGCACGAGGAUGCCGUCCAAUGACCGAUACGCUUGCUACACGUCUACGUGACCCCAAUAGUCCAGCAGUAGUGAGCACCUAGUUAUUAGUUUCUGCAGGCGAAAAGAAGCUCACUACACGUAUACAUGAAAUUGAUAUGUCUAGAAGGAAAACGUGAAUCAGGAAAGAUUUUUUUUUCUUUUUACCUUCUUUAUUCAGGUAGCAGGUGUACUAAUUAC